rnacentral:lncRNA from 1 species
UCUCUGGGGUUUAAACCUAGCUCAACCAGAAAACAGGCUGCCUUUCAAGAGCCCACAAGUGGAAAUCUUAUUCAAACGCCAACACUGAAACAGAAAGUAGAAGAGUCAAGAAAUACUAUAAUAAUAAAAAAAAAAGAGAAUUCACUAAACAUAUUUCUAAGUUGUCUUUGUGGCUCAAAACAAAAUUAAUAGGAUCUAAGGUCUACUUACUUUAUGCUCAUAAGUGUUCUGUUGUAUCUGAAGAUCCGCACUUCACCUUUCUAAUAGCACACCAUUCGUGAUGGAAAGACAAGCUUUAGAAGCUUCAAGACAAAAAUAAACUACUCAUACUUCCUGAUUUUAGAGGUCAAAGAAUUUUUACAACAGAUUUUCCCCACUUGGCUAGAACCACAGUUACUUUAAUUACUAUUAAAAUUUAAAUUUCCAUGCAAAUGUAAAUGUUCAAGCUGCUAUCAAAUAUUUAUGUUUUGCAUGAAUAAAUGUAUCAACAUGUUUAUACAUGAUGAUAUGCUCAUUGACCAAGAUUCAAGAGGUUAAAAAUAUUGCUAAAAAUAACUGAAAUAACAACUCUUCUUUUGGGCAGUUGUAACCAGUUCUCAGUCUCAUACAUAAACUUGCAUAAUUGCAUGCAUACUUUUUCCUUCUGCCAAGUGAGAUUACAUUAAACACAUUCUUCCUUGGUUUGUUUAUAUACGGUGUAUUUUGCUUAUCCUUUCCUGUCUUUGCGUGAAGAGCCCCUCUAUGUUUCACAGCUGCAUCAAAAUGUUACCUUAUUUAAACAUUUUACUUAAUAGUGAUCAUCAGGUUAUUUACAAAUAGUUGCUAUUUUAAUGAAUUCUAAAAUAAUUUUUUUCAUGAAUGUCCUUAUGCAUAUGGGUGAGCAUAUCUUCUGACUAAAUUCCUACAUCCAAACAUUAGGUUGUAAUAAUAAUGCUUAGUGAUUUUGAAAUGUGAUAGGUUAUGUAAAAUUUCCCGAUCCAAAAUUUGUUGAGAAAUUUAGAAUCUCUAGAAAUUUUUCAAAUAGCAAAAUUCUACUGUAAAGUAAUCUAAAGGGCAGGAGUUGCUGCUAGAUUUUUUUUAAUUAGAUAUUUUCUUUAUAUACAUUUCAAAUGCUAUCCCGAAAGUUCCCUAUACCCUUCCCCCCCCCCAUUCCACUACCCACCCACUCCUGCUUCUUGGCCCUGGCAUUCCCCUGUAUUGGGGCAUAUAAAGUUUGCAAUACCAAGGGGCCUCUCUUCCCAGUGAUGGCCGACUAGGCCUAUAUUAACAUCCCUGUGUGUACAGGCUGGUUUUGUGUGUCAACCUGACACAGAUCAAGUCAACGAAGAGAAGGGAACCUCAGUUAAGGAAAUGCCUCCAUGAAAUUCAGCUGGAAGGCUCAAUUAGUGAUCAGUGGAAGAGGGUCCACCCCAAGGUGGGUGGUACCAUCCCCAGGCUGGUAGUUCUGGGUUCUAUAAGAUGGCCGGCUGAACAAACCAGAGAAGCAAGACAGUAAAAAGCACUGCUCUAUGACCUCCAUAUCAGCUCCUGCCUCAAGGUUUCUGCCCUAUUUGAAUUCCUGUCCUGAAUUCCUUCAGUGAUGAGCAAUGUAGAAGUAUUCAUUGAAUAAACCCUUCCCCCAACCACCUGUAACUUGAUAUUUGGUCAUGGUGUCUUGUUGUACUAAUAGAAACCCUAACUAAGACAAUCUUCCAAGGCUCAGUUCCCAAACCACAAAAUAAGAUUUAAAAAUAAUAAUAAAUCUAAAUAAAUCGAGGUUUGAUUUUAUCACAAAAGAGUAUGCCUGCAUGUAGGCAGCUACUGACAUUUGUUAGAGAGCCUAAAAUUUUCAUAGCUUAUUUGUCAGCCUCUCGUCAUCCCUCUAAUGAUAACAGUAUGACAGUGAUUACUUAAAGCAUCAUGUCUACCCUUACAAUGAAAUGAAGCACUCGAGAGAAUCUGUGACUGAUCUAUCUACUUAUCAAUAAACACUUUCUCACACACCUGCACAUUAUGGUUAUUGUUUACUAAAACUCCUUAUGACAGCUAUUGGUUAGCAAUGUCAUUUAGCCAUUAGAACUGUAAAGGAGACUUGGGGGAAAGUGUAUUUAUAUUUUUAGCAUUUAAAGUAGAUGCAGACCACAGGGAAAUUAGUAUAUACCAAGGUCAUUAAAACAACAACAAAAACAGAAACCAUCAAAGUGUUUGUAAAUGCCUAUUAGUUGAAUUGUAUUUUUUGAUAGCAUCAGAAACCUCUAACUUCCCAGCCUCAUGAUUACAGAAAAAUAUAUCUGGUUGCAGUGACUAACUUAACUGCUAACAUAAAUUUGAACAUAUUUUUUUAUUUAAAAUAGCCAUUUUAGUGAUGCCUUUCUAUGAAUUUCAAUUUUAUGCUACUUAUUUAUGAAUUUUUCAUUUUAGUAUAUUCAGGAUACAUAUUCAUACACACCACACAACAAAGGAUUGUUAUGUCCCUGAGUUAAUAGAAAUGAGAAACUAAAUAAAAAGUUUAUUAACUGGAAGGCAAGGCACUGAAUAAAAACCUCAAAAGAAAGCUCUGUUUUCCUUUUGAUCUGUCAUCACACUAAAUAAUAAAACAGAGUUUUCCCGUAGCUAGUACACCACCUCAGAGGAUAGACAUAGAUAAGUAUGCAGUACAAAAACUUCUGAUAAGUCAAUGUCAAGGUCAGGUAUGCCAGAGGUGACCAAUCAUUGGCAUCACUUAACAUGACCAUGUUCUUAACCUGUGUCUAAAGGUUGAUUCAGUGUAUCUCCAGCAGACUUCCCCUUUGUUUUAUAUCUUUAGCAUAGUGGACAGUUGUAUUCAAGUAUGUUCAACCUUCAGAUUGGUGAAGGCAAGACACAUAUCCAGAUGGGUUCUCUCCAUGAUGCUAAAACAAAAUGGGAAACUCAACUAAAGGAACUCUAACUUCAACCAAACUGUCAUUUCAAGAUUGACAUAGGUGCUUAUGCUCACCAAAAAUAAACAAUAAAUUACAAGGUGGACAAUAUAAUAACAUAUACUUGUAUAGAUUUUCCAAGUGUCAAUGAGCACAAUAACUAUUUUAGUUAAGUACUACUAUUCUUUAAGAAUAAAGUUUAAUCUUCAAUGAACUAAAUAUCCAGAGAAAUUUUCUUAUUUUGAAUAAAUAUCAAUGCUCUUAUAAAUAUUACCUUCAGAUGAAGUCUCAAUAAUGUAAAGAAAGAGCCAGAAAAUUCAAAUAUCUAUAUUUGGGAAAAAUAGCUUCCUGACCUAAUAUGCUCUUAAUUUAUGUUCACAGUGAAAAUAAAUUAGCCACAAUAUAUCUAGACAAUUGUGUUGGGAUAACUUCUAUAAAAUCCCUCCUUCUACAGAGAACUUGGGUUUCAUUCCCAGCAUCCACAUAGUGGCUCACAACCAUGUUUAAAUCCAGUCCCAAAGAAUCUUGUUCCCUCUUCUGGUCUUCCUGUAUACAGCACUCAUGUAGUGCAUAGACACAUGUGCAGGCAAAUCAACAACAUACACUAAAGACUAAGGGGCAAAUGUUCUUAAUGC